rnacentral:lncRNA from 1 species
AACCUUUUAAGGCAGCGAAGGAGAAAACGUUUUCUGUUGCACUUCGUCCUUCUGUACCAUUACCCCUAAAAUCUUUACACUAUCACACACUUUGAGAUCCCGGAAGUCCAGAAGUCAGUGGUGAUUUGAGCUACAGCUUACAAGAAACGGGACACGGAUAUGGACACAUACAAGAAAUCCCGCUACGACCUCCAACGAGACAUCAAACAUGCAAAAGGACAAUAUGAAAGGAAGGUGGAAUCCGACUCCAACGCUCGUCGUAUGUAGCAGGGCUUGCAGAUAAUAAAGGAUUACAAAGGGAAACCCAGUCGUGAGUUGCCCAGCAAUGCAGAACUCUAGAAUGAGCUAAAUGAAUGGCUUUUAUGCUCGCUUUGAUGAAUAUACCACCGUGCCUUGCGUAAAAGCCCUUGUUUUCCGCAUGACUGUGUGAUCUCGCUAUCCGUGGCCGAUGUGAGCGAAACAUUAGAAACAGGUUAACAAUCACAAGGCUGCCGGGCCAUCCGUAAUACCAGGCUGUGUUCUCAGAGCAUGCACAGAUCAGCUGGCAAGUGUCUUCACUGACAUGUUCCUUGUCCCAGUCUGUUUCAAGUUGACCACUAUUGUCCCUGUUAACAGGAGCUUCAAGGUAACAUUCCUAAAUGACUAUCGCUCUGUAGCACUCACAUCUGUAAUUAUGAAGUGCUUUGAAAGGCUGGUCAUGACAUUCCAACAUCAUCAUCAAGUUCGCUGACGACAUUACGGUGGUAGGCCUGAUCACCGACGGCGAUGAGACAGCCUAUAGCGAGGAGGUCAGAGAUAUAGCAGUGUGGUGCCAAGACAACAACCUCUCCAACGUCAGUAAGACCAAGUAGCUGAUCAUGGACUAUAGGAGAAAGAGGGGAGAGCACGCACCCAUCCACAUCAACGGGGCUGUAGUGGAGCGGGUCGAGACCUUCAAGUUAUUUGGCGCCCACAUCACGAAGGACUUAAGAUGGUCCACACACACCCACAGUCGUGAAAAUGGCACGGCAGCGCCUCUUCCCCCUUGGGAGGCUGAAAAGAUUUGGCAUGGGCCAUCAGAUCCUCAAAAGGUUCUACAGCUGCACCAUCGAGAGCAUCUUGACUGGCUGCAUCACUGCUUGGUUUGGCAAAUGCACCACUCUCGAACGCAAAGCGCUACAGAGGGUGGUGAGGACAGCCCAGCACAUCAAUGGGGCCGAGCUCCCUGCCAUCCAGGACCUCUAUAUCAGGCGGUGUCAGAGGAAGGGCCGAAAAAUUGCCAAAGAUUCCAGCAAUAGACUGUUCACUCUGCUACCGUCCGGCAAAUGGUACCGGAGCGUCGGCUCUCGGACCAACAGGCUCAGAGACAGCUUCUACCCCCAAGCCAUAUGACUGCUAAAUAGCCAGACUGCUAUAUAGUCAAUUAAUGAUGAAAUCUCGCGUCUUGUGACGGCUGGCCGCCCAACAACCUGCCCGCUUGACCCUAUCCCCUCCUCUCUUCUCCAGACCAUUUCCGGAGACCUUCUCCCCUACCUCACCUCGCUCAUCAACUCAUCCUUGACCGCUGGCUACGUCCCUUCCGUCUUCAAGAGAGCGAGAGUUGCACCCCUUCUGAAAAAACCUACACUCGAUCCCUCCGAAGUCAACAACUACAG